rnacentral:rRNA from 1 species
GACGAACGCUGGCGGCGUGCUUAACACAUGCAAGUCGAACGGAAAGGCCCUGCUUGCAGGGUACUCGAGUGGCGAACGGGUGAGUAACACGUGGGUGAUCUGCCCUGCACUUCGGGAUAAGCCUGGGAAACUGGGUCUAAUACCGGAUAGGAGCCAUUUUUAGUGUGAUGGUUGGAAAGUUUUUUUGGUGUAGGAUGAGCUCGCGGCCUAUCAGCUUGUUGGUGGGGUAAUGGCCUACCAAGGCGGCGACGGGUAGCCGGCCUGAGAGGGUGGACGGCCACAUUGGGACUGAGAUACGGCCCAGACUCCUACGGGAGGCAGCAGUGGGGAAUAUUGCACAAUGGGCGCAAGCCUGAUGCAGCGACGCCGCGUGGGGGAUGACGGCCUUCGGGUUGUAAACUCCUUUCGCUAGGGACGAAGCUUUUUGUGACGGUACCUAGAUAAGAAGCACCGGCUAACUACGUG